UUUUGCUACGACGUAGUGGGAACUGAAAAUGAAGUGAUCUGUGACUAUUCACUCCGCACUUGCACAAACAUGACGGCGUCGUUGCUGCUGGUAUGUGCAAGCGUCGUGACGCUGCUGCUUUGGCCUCAAAUAGCAACGAAGCCGACCAUCCCUGGAAGGAAACCGAGGUUGAAUGCAGACGUCCCCGUGUGUCCCAACCUACCUACCGACGAAACGUACCAAUGUCCGAAGCUACCGUCGCCGGAAACGUGUGCCGAUCUCAACUGUGAGGCCGAAUAGUUGAAAUGUUGCAUCGGCGUCUGCACAAUUCCUACCUGCGCCUGAGCAACAUGGCUUAAGUUAUUCUCAGCAGCCUUACGGAGUUCUAUAUGCCAUUACGGUAUAGGUGCUCAAAGCGCGAAAGCUGCCGCUCUUUCACAGUAAGAACGCCCGCCAAUUUCUUGUUUGUAAAAUAAAAGCUUUCUGAAAACGUUC
rnacentral:lncRNA from 1 species